UAGGAAACGGAGGCAGAGAAGAGUCGCGAGACUUGAUUCGACCACACUUUCCAGGCUCCGCCCCUCCUUCCUGGCCCUCCCUCUGGCCCAGCUUCCCCGGUUGCACGUGUAAUUGUGUACUUGUUGUGGUUCAACCUCACGUGGCCACGGUAUUGCCGGCGUUACAUGCCCCGCCUUCAAGAUGGCGGCGCCCAGCGCAGCGGCCCACGACCUGAGUCGGCUCAGCUUUGAAUUAUAACCUUGACUGAGUCUAUGUGGCCAUGGACCGGCCUGGGUUCACAGCCUCGCUGGUGGCUGGUGGGGUAGCAGGUGUCUGUGUUGACUUGAUAUUAUUUCCUCUGGAUACCAUUAAAACCAGGCUGCAGAGCCCCCAAGGAUUUAAUAAGGCUGGUGGUUUUCGUGGAAUAUAUGCUGGCGUUCCUUCUGCUGCUAUUGGAUCCUUUCCUAAUGCUGCUGCCUUUUUCAUCACCUAUGAAUAUGUGAAAUGGUUUUUGCACACUGAUUCAUCUUCGUAUUUGAUGCCUGUGAAGCAUAUGUUGGCUGCCUCUGCUGGAGAAGUGGUUGCUUGCCUGAUUCGAGUUCCUUCUGAAGUAGUUAAGCAGAGGGCACAGGUAUCUGCUUCUUCAGGAACAUUUCACAUUUUCUCUAACAUCUUAUGUCAAGAGGGCAUCCAAGGAUUAUAUCGAGGCUACAAAAGCACUGUUUUAAGAGAGAUUCCUUUCUCAUUGGUCCAGUUUCCCCUGUGGGAGUCCUUAAAAGCCCUCUGGUCCUGGAGGCAGGAUCAUGUGGUGGAUUCUUGGCAGUCAGCAGUCUGUGGAGCAUUUGCAGGUGGAUUUGCAGCUGCAGUCACCACACCUCUGGAUGUGGCAAAAACCAGAAUCAUGUUGGCCAAGGCCGGCUCCAGCCCUGCAAGUGGGAACGUCCUCUCUGCCCUGCAUGGUGUCUGGCGGACACGGGGGCUGUCAGGAUUAUUUGCAGGUGUCUUCCCUCGCAUGGCAGCCAUCAGUCUGGGAGGUUUCAUCUUUCUUGGUGCUUAUGACCAGACUCGCAGCUUUCUGUUGGAACUUGGCAGAGAGAGUCCAUGAAUCACAGACGGCCCCUGCCUUCAAGAAAGGGUCCUGCUGUGAGAACUGUUUCCCCUCCGGUGAGCAGCUGUUUGGCCAUCUAAACAACAAAACGCGGCGCUCAAGUCCAGUUCUGCUCAGAUUACGACAUGGAGAACGCAUCUUCCGUGCUGCAGGCUGGCCGGGAUGACGUCAUCUGCCUGGUUUCCAGAGUUCAGAGAGAAAAUGAUGUCCACAGCGAGGAGUGUCCAGCGGCCCAUGUGGUGUUUGAGAGAGAAACCAGUCACAGCCCAAUGACUAGGUGGGCCCAGCAGGCUUCGCGGCAGGAGGGCCGUCACUGACCGGGCUCCUCUCCACUCCAGACCCAAAGCAAAGGGCUGGGGCCGACUUUGGAAAUGGGGUGGGUUCAUCAUUCCUAAUCACUAAGGUUUGUUGCUUGGAGUUUUAAGCUCAACACUAGAAAUCAAAGAGAUGAAGUGGGAAGGUCACCAUUUUGGAGCUCAACUAAUAAGCUUCAGGUGUUAGAAAAAUUCAGACAGCAAUCUCAGGAAUCUAGUGGUGUCAUGUUUUCCCCAGAGCAACGGGUAUAUAUACCAUUCUGCUUUGACUAAAAAUGUUUUUCCCUUUUCAGGGGUGGGGUGGGGGGA